rnacentral:rRNA from 1 species
GACGAACGCUGGCGGCGUGCUUAACACAUGCAAGUCGAACGGAAAGGCCCUGCUUUUGUGGGGUGCUCGAGUGGCGAACGGGUGAGUAACACGUGAGUAACCUGCCCACAACUUUGGGAUAACGCUAGGAAACUGGUGCUAAUACUGGAUAUGUGCUCCUGCUGCAUGGUGGGGGUUGGAAAGCUCCGGCGGUUGUGGAUGGACUCGCGGCCUAUCAGCUUGUUGGUGGGGUAGUGGCCUACCAAGGCGGCGACGGGUAGCCGGCCUGAGAGGGUGACCGGCCACAUUGGGACUGAGAUACGGCCCAGACUCCUACGGGAGGCAGCAGUGGGGAAUAUUGCACAAGGGGCGCAAGCCUGAUGCAGCAACACCGCGGGCGGGAUGACGGCCUUCGGGUUGUAAACCGCUUUCAGCAGGGACGAAGCUUUUUGUGACGGUACCUGCAGAAGAAGCACCGGCUAACUACGUG